rnacentral:ncRNA from 1 species
GCUAAAACGAAGAAGAGGAAAAGUAAUCAAUGUUUGACUUCAACAGAGAGCCGUGGUGCUGAAAUGCGGUGUUGUCAACUUUGACGAAGCUCGCCUCCGAGUAUCAUUCUGAACAAUUUUUUUCAGUAGGAAUGGUCGGGUGUUCACAGCACUCGUUAUUAAAAAAGGAUAAGUGGAAACUUAUCCAUAAGAUUGAAUAAAUUUUAUUUAUUCAAUGAAUAAGGGUGGUACCGUGGAAAGAUAAAUCUUUUCGCCCCUUCA